rnacentral:tmRNA from 1 species
GGGGGCGUAAAGGUUUCGACGGGGGUUUUGAAGUCGGAUAAGCAGGCCGUGGCGCGGGACCACGAUAAAACUCGCAGUUUAUUAAUUUAAACGCCAACAAUAAUUACGCUUUAGCAGCCUAGUUUAGGCUGCUCGUCCCGCCCGGGAGCACCACGGCCCGGGGCCGGGGCGUCGAUUAGUGGUGAACGUGAGUCGGUUAAGCUUUGCUCCGGCCAUGAACAAUGAAGCUACCAAACCGUGAAGUCGGCCGCAUGACGGCACGGCAAGGGAAAGUAAAGACGCGGCUAAGCCUGUAGAAAGUCCCCCGGAUGGGCUCUCGGACGCGGGUUCAAUUCCCGCCGCCUCCACCA